rnacentral:antisense_RNA from 1 species
GACGAGGCAAAUUUAUUACUUACGCAUAGAACAUUAGCUGUGCUGAAACUGGGAGCGCAAACAGCCCCUUGUUUUCUAAUUUAGAGACUUGCAUCUUUUCGACUCUCAACAUUAUCAAGACACUCUGCUACUACAGUAUCUUCUGGAGAGGGAAAGAAGAAACCAUGUCUAGACAAGGUGCUGGAAAGACCCAGGGAAGACAUAGGGAAAUCAUCUUUUGGGAACUUAUCUAAGAACUUCUUAUGAUACAUGAAGUCUGGGGGUAAGACCUGCAGUAAUUUCCUUUAAGAUACUACAGAAUUUCUAAGGACUUGAGGAAUAAUUGCACUCUUGAAACAGCCUAUGAAAAAAGAAGAGACUUGGGAAAUUUAACAGAAGUUCACUUUCCACCACUGUGCAAACUAAGGAAAAACUUACAGCAGUAAAUAGCUUCAGUUGGCAAAGCUAUUUUGGCUCAUAAGCAGCUAUCAGGCCUUGAUAAGGUCCACAAGUCUGCUGUUCUAAAAUUAAAGAAAAAAAAA